GUUUUUUUUGCUUUAAAUUAUUUACUUAGCCGCCCAUAAUAGAGUAUUCAUUUGGAAUGAGGUGCAACUCCUCAACUGUUCCCGCAACUGUAAUUAGCAUAACGCUUUAAGUCAGAUACAAAUAAACUAUUUUAACGAGCG
rnacentral:ncRNA from 2 species